CUAAGGAUGGUUCUUCAGAAGCUUGCUUCUAUCGAACCGUUUUAGAAACAUCAGUGGCCAACGGUCGUCAGGAUCGUUGAGCUGCAUUGGCGGGAUUUCGCCGUCUUCGUUUCUCUUUCUUCGCGGACGAACACGCGCUGGGGCUGCAACCUUGCAGAAUCCCUGGUCCUUGACUGGAUAUGCGUUAGGGGCUUGUAGCUCAGUUGGUUAGAGCGCGCGCUUGAUAAGCGUGAGGUCGGAAGUUCAAGUCUUCCCAGGCCCACCACACUCAUCGAGUGAGCAUUCGUCUUCUGGUUACGGGGCCAUAGCUCAGCUGGGAGAGCGCGUGCUUUGCAAGCAUGAGGUCGUCGGUUCGAUCCCGUCUGGCUCCACCAGAUGGUUUGAUCACCGACUAUCCAUACCGUCGUCCGCGAAACAUCACUUCGCACUUACUAGUCCGGAUGGACAGUAAGCUGCGUGAUUUCUGACAUCGUAAAGAGGAGAUCGAUCCGAGUUGGAUCGGGCAACAAGCAAUUGUUGCGCGAUACUUCAUUAUCUCCGGAUCAUUUCGGCGCUCGUGCGUCUUCCAGGGUAGCUCACAAGGCUGCAUCUGAAAGACAAGCGAGUUGUAAAUGAUCCUUUUAGCGAAGCUUGACCGCCUCGCUAUCGGAACGAUCUUACGAAGCAAGCUGGUCUUUCUAAUCAUUGUCCGGCUGCAGAUAGCGUUCAUCGAGGGCGCGUGCCUUAGAGACUUAGGUUUCUUGGCAAUUCUGCAGACAACAUUCUGCCGAGUGUGUGGACAUUGAUAAUGAGAGC
rnacentral:tRNA from 2 species